rnacentral:rRNA from 1 species
UACGUAGGUGGCAAGCGUUGCUCGGAAUCACUGGGCGUAAAGGGUGCGUAGGCGGGUCUUAAGUCAGAGGUGAAAUCCUGGAGCUCAACUCCAGAACUGCCUUUGAUACUGAAGAUCUUGAGUUCGGGAGAGGUGAGUGGAACUGCGAGUGUAGAGGUGAAAUUCGUAGAUAUUCGCAAGAACACCAGUGGCGAAGGCGGCUCACUGGCCCGAUACUGACGCUGAGGCACGAAAGCGUGGGGAGCAAACAGG